UGGGGAAUUUUGGACAAUGGGGGCAACCCUGAUCCAGCCAUCCCGCGUGUGCGAUGAAGGCCUUCGGGUUGUAAAGCACUUUUGGCAGGGAAGAAACAGCCUGGGAUAAUACCCCGGGCGACUGACGGUACCUGCAGAAUAAGCACCGGCUAACUACGUGCCAGCAGCCGCGGUAAUACGUAGGGUGCAAGCGUUAAUCGGAAUUACUGGGCGUAAAGCGUGCGCAGGCGGUUCGGAAAGAAAGGUGUGAAAUCCCAGGGCUUAACCUUGGAACUGCACUUUUAACUACCGAGCUAGAGUACGUCAGAGGGGGGUAGAAUUCCACGUGUAGCAGUGAAAUGCGUAGAGAUGUGGAGGAAUA
rnacentral:rRNA from 1 species